AUAUGGGUCUGUUUUUAAAAAAGC
rnacentral:siRNA from 1 species